CUUGCUUGUGCAACGAACUACUGCCCCAUCAGCCUUCUCAUUGUAGCUACAAAGCGCUAGAACGAAGCCUUUGGGCAUUAACAUAACGGGUUCUUGUGUUGCCUUCCUAAGCGAUGGAAUUGUCCCUCGAAUGUUGCCUUUCUCCAUCUAGCUCCGCUCAUGCGGGGCAGGCGGACCUCGUAAGCGAUCAUCGUUGUUCCAUGUCCUCCCCCAUCCAUGCGAGCAUGCGAAGGGGUUCACAAUGGCCCACGAUGAUGGCUCGUUCUCUCGGAUGCGGAACCUUAACACGGGCAUGGGAUCUAACGAUCACAUUCUCGCCCGAGCUUAAGCGUUCGUCGCUAGACGCGUGUGUACGACGAUCGGCUCCGCCUUGCCCUCCCGUCACCCAUCGUGGUCUAGGGCCAGGCGCAUGCGGUUCCGACGUUGCACAAGAAUG
rnacentral:misc_RNA from 1 species